UACGGAGGGUGCAAGCGUUAUCCGGAAUCACUGGGCUUAAAGGGCGCGUAGGCGGGCAGGCAAGUCGGAGGUGAAAGCCCACGGCUCAACCGUGGAAGUGCCCCGAUACUGCCAGUCUUGAGGGAGGUAGGGGCGUGCGGAACUUCCGGUGGAGCGGUGAAAUGCGUAGAUAUCGGAAGGAACACCGGUGGCGAAAGCGGCGCGCUGGACCUCUCUGACGCUGAGGCGCGAAAGCCAGGGGAGCGAACGGG
rnacentral:rRNA from 1 species